UCAGGAUCAAAGAUGCAACUGCUUUCCCAUGCAAGCAGCAGUUGAAAAAGAGCCCAAAGUAUGGCCUCUGUUCUGUUGUCUCUGCCCGAUCUGUGACAUUUUGGGAAGACACAGGU
rnacentral:snoRNA from 1 species